UUUUUAAAUGGGAAUUCUGGGAAAGAAAGGAUUGGCAAAAAGAAAACUGUCUUUAUUAUAAUAAUAGAAAUUAACUUUUAAGUGAAAAGGCUUAAAUAAAUUAAGGGGACGAUAAGACCCUAUAAAGCUUUAUAAAAUUUUUAUUAUAAAAUAAGUUUGUUAAUUAAUAUAAUAAAUUAUUUAUUUUGCUGGGGCGGCCUAUUAAAAUUUUUAUUAACUAAUUAUUAAUUUUAUCAUUGAUGAAUGAAUAUUUGAUCCUAAGAAAGAUUAAAAAUUUAAGUUACUUUAGGGAUAACAGCGUUAUUUUUUUUGAGAGUUCUUAUUAAAAAAAAAGAUUGCGACCUCGAUGUUGAAUUAGAAAUUACUCUAUAAAGCAGUAUUUAUGGGAGUAGGUCUGUUCGACCUUUAAAUAUCUA
rnacentral:rRNA from 1 species